ACUCAAAGGAAUUGACGGGGGCCCGCACAAGCGGUGGAGCAUGUGGUUCAAUUCGACGCAACGCGAAGAACCUUACCCAGGCUUGAACUGCGAGUGACAAGCUCCGAAAGGAGUCUCCCGCAAGGGCACUCGUAGAGGUGCUGCAUGGCUGUCGUCAGCUCGUGUCGUGAGAUGUUGGGUUAAGUCCCGCAACGAGCGCAACCCUUGUUUGCUGUUGCCAUCAGGUAAUGCUGGGCACUCUGCAAAGACUGCCGGUGAUAAACCGGAGGAAGGUGGGGAUGACGUCAAGUCAGCAUGGCCUUUAUGUCUGGGGCUACACACGUGCUACAAUGGCCGAUACAAACCGUCGCGAGCCCGUAAGGGGGAGCUAAUCGGAGAAAGUCGGUCUCAGUUCGGAUUGUAGGCUGCAACUCGCCUGCAUGAAGUUGGAAUCGCUAGUAAUCGCGGAUCAGCACGCCGCGGUGAAUACGUUCCCGGGCCUUGUACACACCGCCCGU
rnacentral:rRNA from 1 species